rnacentral:rRNA from 1 species
UCGAGCGAACAGACGAGGAGCUUGCUCCUCUGACGUUAACGGCGGACGGGUGAGUAACACGUGGAUAACCUACCUAUAAGACUGGGAUAACUUCGGGAAACCGGAGCUAAUACCGGAUAAUAUAUUGAACCGCAUGGUUCUUUAUUGAAAGACGGUUUUGCUGUCACUUAUAUAUGGAUCCGCGCCGCAUUAGCUAUUUGGUAAGGUAACGGCUUACCAAGGCAACGAUGCGUAGCCGACCUGAGAGGGUGAUCAGCCACACUGGAACUGAGACACGGUCCAAACUCCUACGGGAGGCAACACUAAGGAAUCUUCCGCAAUGGGCGAAAGCCUGACGGAACAACGCCGCGUGAGUGAUGAAGGUCUUCGGAUCGUAAAACUCUGUUAUUAGGGAAGAACAAAUGUGUAAAUAACUAUGCGCGUCUUGACGGGACCUAAUCUUAAAGCCACGGCUAACUACGUGCCAGCAGCCGCGGUAAUACGUAGGUGGCAAGCGUUAUCCGGAAUUAUUGGGCGUAAAGCGCGCGGAGGCGGUUUUUUAAGUCUGAUGUGAAAGCCCACGGAUCAACCGUGGAGGGGCAUUGGAAACUGGAAAACUUGAAUGCAGAAGAGGAAAGUGGAAUUCCAUGUGUAGCGAUGUACUGCUCAGAGAUAUGGAGGAACACCAGUGGCGAAGACGACUUUCUGCUCUGUAACUGACGCUGAUGUGCGAAGACGUGGAGAUCAAACAGGAUUAGAUACCCUGGUAGUCCACGCCGUAGACGAUGAGUGCUAAGUGUUAGGGGGUUCUCCGCCCCUUAGUGCUGCAGCUAACGCAUUGAUGCACUCCGCCUGGUGAGUACUACGGCAAGGGUAGAAACCUCAAAGGAGUUGACAGGCACCCGCACUAGACGGUGGAGCAUGUGAGUCUAAUGUCAGAAGCAACGCGUAGUACCAUACCAAAUCAUGACAUCCUCUGACCCCUCUAGAGAUAUGAGUUUUCCCCUUCAGGAGAUAUAGUGACAGUGGUGCAUGAUUGUCGUCGCCUCGUGUCCUGAGAUGUCAGUUUAAGUACCGUCACGAGC